UUGUGACACACGGCUGUCAGAGUUCAGUUUUUCCUGUGAUUUACUACAGGGAUGCAGACCCAUGUUGACUCCAAUGCUGCCCAAAGUUGUUUCAAGUUGGCUGGAUGCUCUUUGGAUAGUGGACCAUUCUUGAUACACACGGGAAACUGUUGAGCAUGAAAAACCCAGCAGCGUUGCAGUUCUUGACACAAACAGGUUAUUCCGGGGACUCGAUCUAGCAUUUGCUGUGCAAUUGGGUGUCCUGAAAUCGAUUCCCAAUGCACCGCUGACUGCAGCCUGUGGGACUGGGGAAUCUAGGGUUAUCUGGAUGUCACUUCUGCACAAGGACGUCCAUUUGUUGCUGUAAUUAACUAAGCCGCCGAUAACACCCACGGAGUACCUUUGGAAGUGGUUUGAAGGAGAUGUGGCUGAGAGUUUAUUUGAGAGGUGAUUCCCGGUGCCUGAUUCACAGUGGCCCCUGCUUCCUCUCCAAACAGGGCCAGUAGUUUACUAGGGGUGAGUUGGAUGCAGUGUGAGAGAGAAAGCAUGUAAAUUAGAGGGAAGAACGGAGGAAAGCAACUGCCAAUGAGGCAGUGGGUGUGAGAGACACAAAGGUCUCAUUGUUACAUUUGCUACAAACAUUGCCAACUGGGCCUGUAUGGGCAGGAUGGACAGAGGGUUAUGAAAUCUGCCAAUAUAUACGCCUUCCUGCACCAAACGUCACUUUCAGCAAGAAAAAAGGAAUCAUUGUUGUUAGGAUUUGGAUUGAUAUACUCAAACCAGAGGUUUGUUUUGGGGUCAAUACAGCAAUAGGUCGGAGGUCAAGAAGACAUACAUGUCUCUGAAGCCAGUGUGAUUGAAUAUCUGUCGUCUGAAAGCUAUUCCUAUAAUUGAAAAAGAGAAGAGAGUAAUUUCAAUUGCCCGAACUACCCAAUGUGAAUUUCAGGUUCCCAUCCAACAUGAUUGUUUACUCAGCUAAACAUAUACAAUAUACAGUAGGCGUUCAUCUCAUCUCUCCAGGUCUAGGUCUACAAUUGUGUUACAAUAUUUGGGUUCUCCAUUAUGUAAUAUCUGCUCUAUUCCUUUUGAAUACGUUUGACCUUCACCAAGUCCUGUACAAUCACCAAUCACCAUUUCUGUCUGGGAGGUCCUUUAAAUUCAAAGCCCACUGUCUGUAUUGUAGAUCUAUGAUUGCAUUUGAAUGAAGUACUGUACACCCUCGAUCAGUGCUUAGUUAUAACCCUCUGCGAUGUUUUGUCAAUACAUUGAAUUUAAAUCAUUAAGCCUGAUGGACUUUGUUAUUGUCUGAAAUAUGUCAACAUGUACUGCAAUAUAAUUAAAGGUUUAUUAAAGGGAUGUUGCUAACCGAAAUGAUCUUGGAGGAACAUAUAGGGUGACCACAUUUAAAAUACCCAAAUGCGGUACAACAGGAUGCCACAUACACACACAAAAAUAAAUCUCCCUCCCAUGCAUGGUGUAUUGCAAAUGUUUAAGGUGC